ensembl:lncRNA
AGGGAAGGGAAGGGAAGGGAAGGGAAGGGAAGGGAAGGGAAGGGAAGGGAAGGGAAGGGAAGGGAAGGGAAGGGAAGGGAAGGGAAGGGAAGGGAAGGGAAGGGAGUUUUCUAGAAAUUGAACAAUCAUUCAUAUUCCACUUUUCUCAUUUUCAGCAGAAGUGAAUAAGGACCUCCACCAAAAUAAAGUGUGAGCAGUGGUUUGUGACCAGCGUUUUUUGGAAUGUUUACUGGAUACAUGUGUUGGUUUAGUGUAAAAGAUGGCUGUAAGAAAAAAGAAAGAAAAUACAGUAGGAGGUGUACAAGCAGCCAUGCAGAAACAACCAGGGGGUGGUACCCAGCACAGCUCUGAGCUACUUUCAAGCAGUCUGGCCCGACUCUGAUGUACCAGCCCAUGGGGCUGUGAGACAGCAAUGGCUGUCUCCAUGAAAAAAAGGACCAACGCAAGGACCUCAAGGCUGCAGAAAGACCCUCAUUUCAUAGAGGAGAGUGAGUUGUGGAUCUGCGGCAGGGAGAGCAGAGUGGCCUCCAGGGACCAUUGGUGCCAAAUGUAGAAGUUUCUGCUAGCUCAGAAGAUCCCUCACUGCCAUCCUCAGCACACAUCCCAACACACACCAGACGGACAAAGGCACUGUGCCUGGUUUUGCUGCUGCUCCCCAGGUUCUGGUAUGAACUGAAAACGAGUCCAACAUACAAAUUCCAUCAUCUUUUAACUUUUUGUGAUGUAUAAUAUCGGACAGCUCUGUCUAGGCCAAUCCAUCACCAACUAGUCCUGUUGACAUUUUGGAUUCUCCUCCUGACCUUGUCCUUUCAGCACAGGCAUAAUCGUGCUUAUGAUAAUUUUAUUCCCAGUUAGGCAUCUAUUUUGCACACCUUUGAGCUACAGAAUCACUAAGAAGCCGUCCUCUGUGCAGCUGCUGAAACAAGGCACCUUGAGCCCAGUUAUGGUGAAGCGCAGCCUGUGGGGUGGCAGCAAACAGAAGUGGGUGAACACCUCUCUGAGCACACGCAAGCAGGGCCCUGCUCCACGGGAACGCUCUCGCUGGAUGGAGGCGCACACGCGGUCCUCGGAGCGCACCGCCGCGGCCCUCCCGUCCCAACAGCAGCGGCACCGCAUCGCGUCUGCGCUAUUAAGGGUUAUAAUUGGACGGUCCGUAGUUUGCAUAUCAGACCAUUAAAAUAAUGCGCUUCGCUUUUCUUCCGACACGUAACGCUACAGCCUCUGCGAACGUUUGGCCAUUCUGAUAAUUAUCGCCAAAUUACCGCAAAUGUUCUCUUCAUUAAGGUGAUUUCUCUCAAGCAUUUUUAAAAAUGUGAAUAAUGCAUUAAGUGGCGCCUGGUAAAGUGCUUUUAAAUAAAAGUUGUCAACUGCGGUUCCAAAAUGAGACCCAAAGAAAAAAUACAGAUAUGUCACAACUGAACGGGAGGAGACCGAUUCCGCCCCGUGAUUGGAAGGAGCGCCGUUAUUUCCCCGUCUCAGAUAAGGGACCGAACAGCCGCAGCCUCACUGCGCCGGCAGCGGAGGUGCGCGCAGUGCGCGGAGGAGUGAAGUUGGAGCUUUUUCCCUUCGUGGGGAAUAGACGGGGACAGCGUCGGACGGACAGAGAGAUUGACCGGGAAAGCUACUGACCUCUCUCCUUCAGCUGCAAUCUAACUUCUCCUGGAAAAAUAAAAAACAAAACAAAACCAAAGCAGCACGGUGCGGUGCCCCCCCCCGCCCCCCCUCCUCCGCCGCCCCCUUCCCCGCCCCGAG